rnacentral:rRNA from 1 species
GAUGAACGCUAGCGGCAGGCUUAACACAUGCAAGUCGAGGGGUAUAACAGCAAUAUUAGAGACCGGCGCACGGGUGCGUAACGCGUAUGCAAUCUACCUUUAGCUGAGGGAUAGCCCAGAGAAAUUUGGAUUAAUACCUCAUAGUAUAGUAACAUCGCAUGAUGAUGCUAUUAAAGAAACAUCGGCCAAAGAUGAGCAUGCGUCCCAUUAGCUAGUUGGUAUGGUAACGGCAUACCAAGGCAACGAUGGGUAGGGGUCCUGAGAGGGAGAUCCCCCACACGGGUACUGAGACACGGACCAGCCUCCUACGUGAGGCAGCAGUGAGGAAUAUUGGACAAUGGGCUAGAGCCUGAUCCAGCCAUGCCGCGUGCAGGAAGACGGUCUUAUGGAUUGUAAACUGCUUUUACACAGGAAGAAACAACAUUACGUGUAAUGUCUUGACGGUACUGUGAGAAUAAGGAUCGGCUAACUCCGUGCCAGCCGCCGCAGUAA